rnacentral:rRNA from 1 species
AGAGGAAGUAAAAGUCGUAACAAGGUCUCCGUAGGUGAACCUGCGGAGGGAUCAUUACCGAGUUCAUGCCCUUACGGGUAGACCUCCCACCCUAUGUUAUAUUACCUUUGUUGCUUUGGCGGGCCGCCCGGCUUCGGCCAGGCUACCGGCUCCAGCUGGUAAGCGCUCGCCAGAGGACCCUCAACUCUGAAUAUCAGUGUCGUCUGAGUACUAUAAAAUAGUUAAAACUUUCAACAACGGAUCUCUUGGUUCUGGCAUCGAUGAAGAACGCAGCGAAAUGCGAUAAGUAAUGUGAAUUGCAGAAUUCAGUGAAUCAUCGAAUCUUUGAACGCACAUUGCGCCCCUUGGUAUUCCGAGGGGCAUGCCUGUUCGAGCGUCAUUACAACCCUCAAGCACUGCUUGGUAUUGGGCUCCGCUGGCUCCAGCGGGCCUUAAAAUCAGUGGCGGCGCCGUUUGGGCUCUGAGCGUAGUAAAUAUCCUCGCUAUAGAGACCAGGCGGUUCUUGUCAUCAACCCCCAACUUUCUAAGUUUGACCUCGGAUCAGGUAGGGAUACCCGCUGAACUUAAGCAUAUCAAUAA